rnacentral:rRNA from 1 species
CCGAUGCUAAAGACUGGGGCUCAACCCCAGGGGUGCGUUGGAUACUGUGAGGCUAGACGGUCGGAGGGGGUAGCGGAAUUUCCGGAGUAGCGGUGAAAUGCGCAGAUACCGGAAGGAACGCCAAUAGCGAAGGCAGCUACCUGGACGACUUGUGACGCUGAGGCGCGAAUGCGUGGGGAGCAAACCGGAUUAGAUACCCGGGUAGUCCACGCCCUAAACCAUGAGUGCUGGGUGUCCGGCUUCUGCUGGGUGCCGUAGCUAACGCGCUAAGCACUCCGCCUGGGAAGUACGCACGCAAGUGUGAAACUCAAAGGAAUUGACGGGGGCCCGCACAAGCGGUGGAGCAUGUGGUUUAAUUCGAAGCGACGCGAAGAACCUUACCAGGCCUUGACAUGCCCGGAACCCCUCUGAAAGGAGGGGGUGCCCGCAAGGGAGCCGGGACACAGGUGCUGCAUGGCCGUCGUCAGCUCGUGUCGUGAGAUGUUGGGUUAAGUCCCGCAACGAGCGCAACCCCUAUCCCUAGUUGCCAGCAGUUCGGCUGGGCACUCUAUGGAGACUGCCUGCGAAAGCAGGAGGAAGGCGGGGAUGACGUCUGGUCCGCAUGGCCCUUACGGCCUGGGCGACACACGUGCUACAAUGCCAAGGACAGAGCGCUGCUACCUCGCGAGAGGACGCCAAUCGCAAAAACCUUGGCUCAGUUCGGAUUGGAGUCUGCA